CCUACGGGGGGCAGCAGUGGGGAAUAUUGGGCAAUGGGCGCAAGCCUGACCCAGCAACGCCGCGUGAAGGAAGAAGGCUUUCGGGUUGUAAACUUCUUUUAUGAGGGACGAAGUACUGACGGUACCUCAUGAAUAAGCCACGGCUAACUACGUGCCAGCAGCCGCGGUAAUACGUAGGUGGCAAGCGUUAUCCGGAUUUACUGGGUGUAAAGGGCGUGUAGGCGGGACUGCAAGUCAGAUGUGAAAUUCCAGGGCUCAACCCUGGACCUGCAUUU
rnacentral:rRNA from 1 species